GACGAACGCUGGCGGCGUGCUUAACACAUGCAAGUCGAGCGGUAAGGCCCUUCGGGGUACACGAGCGGCGAACGGGUGAGUAACACGUGGGUGACCUGCCUCUAGCUCUGGGGAUAAGCCUGGGAAACUGGGUCUAAUACCGGAUAUGACUCCACGGCGCAUGUUGUGGGGUGGAAAGCCUUGUGUGGCUAGAGAUGGGCCCGCGGCCUACCAGCUUGGUUGGUGGGGUGANGGCCCUACCAAGGCGACGACGGGUAGCCGGCCUGAGAGGGCGACCGGCCACACUGGGACUGAGACAC
rnacentral:rRNA from 1 species